CGGGUCGUAGCGCAGAGGUCGUCGCGUCUCCCUCUCACGGGGAAGGACACCGGUUCGAAUCCGGUCGGCCCGCCA
rnacentral:tRNA from 1 species